UCUAUCCGUCGCCAUUUUGUAAACCGGUUUCCAGGGAAACGCAAGGUCAUUGUUUUUCCUAAGGAUUAUUUUUAAAGAUAGAAUUUUUGAUUCUCUCUCACCAAGUUGAGCGGAAAUUGCUUUCCUUUCAAUCCUCUGUUUUUUGUCUAACUGGUAUGGCGAAUAAUUUAAAUGUAUUCGACUUGGUCUUCAUGACCAAGUUCUAGGCUCAAGAGCAUGUUUUUGUUUUGUAAUGAAUGUUCAUUCCAGCAACGCCGAGGAUAUACACUUCUCUUCGAGGCUUCUUUCAAGUUCGGAUGGCUCUGGUAAAGGGCAGCUGCCUUCUUCGCAGAGUUAGCAAAAUGAGAACCCAGGAUUACAAAGCAAGGUGUAGCCGGAGCACCUGAUUCAGUGAAAAUGUUUCCUGAAGCUGAGCAAUAAAGUACGUGACCCACAUUUUCUAGUAAGUUGGUGAGUGAUUGCCGACGAGAGUGAUAAGGUAUAUUUUAGAUAAGGGUCAGAUCUUUAGUCAUAUAAAGAAAGAACAGGUGCAGUUUAAUCCUGUCAGCAAUUAAGUUAUUCUACCACAUAUCCCUAGCAUUCGAAAUCGUAGAGGAUUAAUUAAAUUACAGACUUGAAGGGGGAGGGAAUGUGGGGAAUCCUCGGGACCAACUCGUGCUCUUUUUGAAAUAUCUCCAUUAUCUCAGGAUAAUAAGGCGGUGUGGUAUUUUUGUCGUGUGCAUCCUUGCCUUAAGAUUUAUAUCCGCGCAUAAUGGUGACUUUUUUUGGAUAGCAUUUCUAUAUUUUAAUUUAUAAAAACUCUGAAUACACUGAACAUGUUUUUCUCUCUGCAUGCACAACCCUCCUAUUCAAGACUCGGGCUUUUCCCCAGAAGCCCCUCCGAAAAUGGCCACCAGGUGGUGAGAUGAGAACUUUGCUUUGACUCUAGCCAGUUCUUUUUGGCUGUACUAAUCACAGAUGUACAGACAUGAUGGACUGAAUGGCCUCUUUCUCUGCUCAGUUUGCUGGAUGUCUGGUUUACAAUGCACGUGAUGCCAACAGCACAGGUUCAACUCACGUACUCGCAGAGGUCACCAUGAAGUUCUGUCCUGCUUUCUCAACCUCGGCUGUGGCAUGACGACUCUCAGAUUCUUCUCUGACCUUACCUUCACAGAUGAUGCCUGGUCUGAGAAGUGUUUUCAACUCUAUGUGCUUAGAGGUUUAUACAAAUCUGGAACAUGGUCCUAACACUGCCCUCAACGAUGUCCACAGACACAUUUUCUUUUUUGCAGGAGGUUACUGGAUAUUAUUAAGAUGAAAAUAUUAGUUUGACUUCUUCUAGCCCUAAAGCAAAUUCUUGAAAACAUUCCGCAGGUCAGGAGUAUUUGCAAAAAGAAUCGAUGAAGUAUUUUGAACAUGAGUCGUUCUCAGGACUACUGGACUGUAGGUUCUGUUCAAUGCCUGAAUGCUUCUGAAGAUUUGAGGGUUUUUUUUUUUUACGAUUGUCAGUACCUACAACAUUUUGCCUUUUGCCAAACUAAAAUCAGCUUUCAAUUAUCUUCUUGUUCUGUAUUUCUCAGUUCCAUUGAGGAGAAAGUUAAGGUGCUACAUGAAAAGCAAACUGGACACUGCAAGAGUUUGAAGGCUGGGUUAAUGAAGUUGACUAAAUCCAUUACUGGAUUUAAACAGACACUUUUGAAAAUGGUGAGUUUCAGAAUGCUGAGGCAUGAUGACUAAAGGUUAUUUUGCCAAUCAGGAAGUGGAAGAAAAUACAGUGUACCAGAGUAGAGGGUGUUAAUUUGAGUCUAGUAGA